rnacentral:rRNA from 1 species
UACGGGGGGGGCAAGCGUUGUUCGGAAUUACUGGGCGUAAAGGGCGCGUAGGCGGCUCGCUAAGUCGGGUGUGAAAACUCUGGGCUCAACCCAGAGCCUGCAUUCGAAACUGACGAGCUAGAGUUCUGGAGGGGAAAGCGGAAUUCCUGGUGUAGCGGUGAAAUGCGUAGAUAUCAGGAGGAACACCGGUGGCGAAGGCGGCUUUCUGGACAGAAACUGACGCUGGGGCGCGAAAGCCAGGGGAGCAAACGGG